CUUAAAUUGAAGAGUUUGAUCAUGGCUCAGAUUGAACGCUGGCGGCAGGCCUAACACAUGCAAGUCGAGCGGAAACGAGUUAUCUGAACCUUCGGGGRACGAUAACGGCGUCGAGC
rnacentral:rRNA from 1 species